UUUCGGACAGGGGUACUCAGUUUACAUCGCGGUUCUUGAGAGCCAUUCAGUAGGAGUUGGAUACUCAGGUGACAAUGAGAACAUCAUUUCACCCUCAUAUGGAAGGACAGUCCGAGCACCAUUCAGAUUCUUGAGGAUAUUCUUUGUGCGUGCGUGAUUGAGUUUAGAAGGUCUUGGGAUCAGUUCUUAUACCAAUUAUCAGUCCAGCAUUCAAAUGGCUUCGUAUAAGGCUUUAUAUAGUAGGAGGUGCAGAUCUCCGGUGGGUUGGCUUAAGCCAGGUGAUGCGAG
rnacentral:lncRNA from 1 species